rnacentral:rRNA from 1 species
AUUGAACGCUGGCGGCAGGCCUAACACAUGCAAGUCGAGCGGUAGAGAGGUGCUUGCAUCUCUUGAGAGCGGCGGACGGGUGAGUAAUGCCUAGGAAUCUGCCUAGUGGUGGGGGAUAACGUUCGGAAACGGACGCUAAUACCGCAUACGUCCUACGGGAGAAAGCGGGGGGAUCUUCGGACCUCGCGCCAUUAGAUGAGCCUAGGUCGGAUUAGCUAGUUGGUGAGGUAAUGGCUCACCAAGGCGACGAUCCGUAACCGGUCUGAGAGGAUGAUCAGUCACACUGGAACUGAGACACGGUCCAGACUCCUACGGGAGGCAGCAGUGGGGAAUAUUGGACAAUGGGCGAAAGCCUGAUCCAGCCAUGCGCGUGUGUGAGAAGGUC